rnacentral:lncRNA from 10 species
GGUGGCUCCCAAGAAGUCCGAGACACGCGGUGAGGCGGCGACGGGCUCCGGUUGAUCUCCCUUUUGUGAGGUGGUUUUUAAGUGAAUCAUUAAAGAGCAAAGGAGAAGUUUUCCCGUGGCUCCCACGCUGCUAUUCAAAACUUCCUGGAUGAAAUCUUUAGCAUCAGUUGGGCUCAUUAGCACCUCUACUAAGAGAAGCAAGCACAGAAUGGAAGGGAGAGCAAAUCAUAACUUUUUAAAAAGUUAUUUCUCCUUAGUUAAAAGUUUGGAAGAGAAGCAAGUUGAAACUGUAGGCUGAUUAUGUAAAAGUUUAAGUUAUCAGCUCUCUUAUAUGUAAUGCAGGUUGAUUAUAAGUUUCUGGGCUGUUGUGACAACAAGAAAAUUAUGUUUAUUAUUAAAAACUUGUUUAUACUGCAUAUAUGUGAAGGGCAUUAUACUGUGACAAAGCUAACAAUAAAACAUACAUUUUAAUAUUUCAGA